rnacentral:rRNA from 1 species
CUACGGGAUGCUCCAGUGAGGAAUAUUGCACAAUGGGGGGAACCCUGAUGCAGCAACGCCGCGUGGAGGAUGACGCAUUUCGGUGUGUAAACUCCUUUUAUAUGUCAAGAAAAUGACGGUAGCAUAUGAAUAAGCACCGGCUAACUCCGUGCCAGCAGCCGCGGUAAUACGGAAAGUGCAAGCGUUACUCGGAAUCACUGGGCGUAAAGGACGCGUAGGCGGGUUGGAAAGUCAGGUGUGAAAUCCUACAGCUUAACUGUAGAACUGCACUUGAAACUUCUAAUCUAGAGUAUGGGAGGGGAGAUGGAAUUAGUGGUGUAGGGGUAAAAUCCGUAGAUAUCACUAGGAAUACCUAAAGCGAAGGCGAUCUCCUGGAACAUUACUGACGCUAAGGCGUGAAAGCGUGGGGAGCAAACAGGAUUAGAUACCCCAGUAGUC